AGUGGUAACAAACUCAGCCACUACUAAGCUAUGCUUCGUUCCUUGUCUCUAUGCUGACUUUGUGUGUGUGAUCUUUCGCAGGCAGAAACCUGAACCUUUGAUUAUCUUCGUUGAACACAGCUCCAGAGGUUUCUGGACGAUCAGGUUUACCUACGUUUGGUGGAUUUCGUUUGGAUUUCGUUUCCAAGGAUUAAGCUGGCAGCUUCCUGUUAUUCUCCGACUCCAGAACCAAGGCAGAAGCAUACCCUGUCCACCCUCCAAUGCAAGUACCUGAACAAAGAACUAUUCCUGAACUCACCAGUACUCACUCUUCAGCUCAAGCAAAACCAUCUGGAUUACCCCGCUUCGCACACCUGGGUCCCGACUCCCUCUACCCCUGGCGACCUGACGGCAUUUGCUUAUUGGCAAAUUUACCCGUUCAUGUCCCAGACUCACUGAUUGUAAAUAAACACCUUUCACUUA